GACGAACGCUGGCGGCGUGCUUAACACAUGCAAGUCGAACGGAGCACCCUUGAUUGAGGUUUCGGCCAAAUGAUAGGAAUGCUUAGUGGCGGACUGGUGAGUAACGCGUGAGGAACCUGCCUUUCAGAGAGGGACAACAGUUGGAAACGACUGCUAAUACCGCAUGACGCAUUUUGAUCGCAUGGUCGAAAUGCCAAAGAUUUAUCGCUGAAAGAUGGCCUCGCGUCUGAUUAGCUAGUUGGUGAGGUAACGGCCCACCAGGGCGACGAUCGGUAGCCGGACUGAGAGGUUGACCGGCCACAUUGGGACUGAGAUACGGCCCAGACUCCUACGGGAGGCAGCAGUGGGGAAUAUUGGGCAAUGGGCGCAAGCCUGACCCAGCAACGCCGCGUGAAGGAAGAAGGCUUUCGGGUUGUAAACUUCUUUUAAGUGGGAAGAGUAGAAGACGGUACCACUUGAAUAAGCCACGGCUAACUACGUGCCAGCAGCCGCCGUAA
rnacentral:rRNA from 1 species